AUGUCCAGUGCCCUAUUCGUAACAAUGUGUUCAUUAAACUCGCAUUCAUUUCUUUAUGGAAAGACAGUCCAUUCGAUUCGUCGUGGCUUUCCAAACAACUCGCUUCAUAUGAUCAAACUGGUUCAUUCUAUUAGAAGAAGCCAGCUACUCAAAGUACUAGGAGGAUCUUAGCUUUGGCCCAAUGAAAAGGGAUGAAGCUGAGACAAACGAGUGAACACUGGAUAAGGACAGGAUAACGCUGAUCCUCUCCUCAGACACAACUAAAGAUUCUGAGCAAGUGAACUUCUACUGUAUUCCUACUGUAUUAAUAUUGUAUUACAGUACAUAUUCCCCACUCC
rnacentral:lncRNA from 1 species